rnacentral:lncRNA from 1 species
UCAAGUGCUACGGCAGCUGGUAAAGAUUUAAAACCAGCUGUCGUGGCACAAUCUUCACCCAGUGAUCCGGUUGAUGCCGCUUCUAUCACGUCCAGAGCUUCUUCGAUAUCCGUCUUCGAAAUAGAACAGAGUUCUAAGGAUUAAUUUUUAAGGAGAAUAGUAGAAAGAGAUAUUUUACCCUUUUCGUAUCGAGAAUCUCGGUGCUGGUGAUCGUAGAGAGGGACGGUACCGAGGUCGAGGUAGCCGUCGUUACAGUGGCGUACGCCAUCAUCGUCAUCGUCGCAGGAAACAGGGCCCAAAGCCAAGAUUUGCCCAUCCCGCGUACUGCUCAUUUGUACUUUGAAAUAAAUGCUUGUCAUUUCAUUCUUUAUUAUCGUGUUUAUAAAAAUAAGAAGAAAAAGUCGAAGAUAAUUUUUUAAUUAA